UGAGGAAUAUUGCACAAUGGGCGGAAGCCUGAUGCAGCAACGCCGCGUGAGGGACGAAGGCCUUCGGGUUGUAAACCUCUUUUCUGGGGGAAGAGAGCGAGGACGGUACCUCAGGAAUAAGUCUCGGCUAACUACGUGCCAGCAGCCGCGGUAAAACGUAGGAGGCGAGCGUUAUCCGGAUUUACUGGGCGUAAAGCGCGCGCAGGCGGCCUUAUAAGUUAGACGUGAAAGCUCCUGGCUUAACUGGGAGAGUGCGUUUGAUACUGUAGGGCUUGAGGUUGGGAGAGGGGUGUGGAAUUCCCGGUGUAGUGGUGGAAUGCGUAGAUAUCGGGAGGAACACCUGUGGCGGAAGCGGCACCCUGGCCCACACCUGACGCUGAAGUGCGAAAGCGUGGGGAGCAAACAG
rnacentral:rRNA from 1 species